GGUAGAGCUACCGGCUCAUAACCGGUUGGUCCCAGGUUCGAGUCCUGGUAGGCCCACCA
rnacentral:tRNA from 1 species